rnacentral:rRNA from 1 species
AGAGAGAGACAUGCGCGCAUAUCAAUAAGCGGAGGAAAAGGAGUAUACCUACGCUUAGGAUGUUGACGAGACUGUCGAUCUCAUCUAUACAUGACUCUGUGCAUAUCAAUAAGCGGAGGAAAAGAAACUAACAAGGAUUCCCCUAGUAACGGCGAGUGAAGCGGGAAGAGCUCAAAUUUGAAAUCUUAAAGGGUUUCCCUUUACGAAUUGUAGUUUAAAGAAGUGUUUUCUGUUGAGGUUUUGGUAAAAGUUCUUUGGAAUAGGACAUCAUAGAGGGUGAGAAUCCCGUAUUUGACCUUUACUUUCAACUUUGUGAUACACUUUCAAAGAGUCGGAUUGUUUGGGAAUGCAGUCCAAAACUGGGUGGUAAAUUUCAUCUAAAGCUAAAUAUUGGCGAGAGACCGAUAGCGAACAAGUACCGUGAGGGAAAGAUGAAAAGAACUUUGAAAAGAGAGUUAAACAGUACGUGAAAUUGUCAAAAGGGAAGCGUUUGACACCAGUGUUGUUUUUCUGAAAAUCAAUUAAAGAACUGUUUAUGCUAAGCUGUUUAGACUUUAUCAGCUAAUCUGUUUAGUUUUGAGCUUUUCUUUAAUGCACUUUUCAGUUAACAAGUCAACAUCAAUUUCUUUUGCUGUAAAAAAGCUUGAGGAAGGUGGCUUGAGAUUCGUCUUAAGUGUUUAUAGCCUCUUGCCUAUGCAGUCGGAGAGAUUGAGGUCUGCAGCGUAGAUCCUUCGGGGCUAAAUGCAUUUGUGCUAAGUUAUAGCAUUUUAUAGACAACUUGUUGACUAUGAUUUGUCUUGUAGCUUACUCGCUUAUGUUAUUUUACCUACGCUUAGGAUGUUGACGCAUGAGAUAUACGC